GGGGGCGAAACGGCUUCGACGGGGAUAUGGAAGUUUAAGCUGCAUACCGAGGUCCUGUUGGCUCGUUAAACAAACAGGAAAAAACAAAAGCAGACAACUGCGAAUACGCACUGGCCGCUUAAUAGGCCAGCGUCCUUCUGAUUCGAUCCUGCGGAACUAGAAAGGACGACGGAUAGCGGGAUAGCAUCCCCUCAAUCGCCUGCUGAGAGGGGAAGCGAAACUUUAUGCGGGCUAAUCUCCUGGUUGCCUUGCCCGGGGUGGAACCAGGGGGUGAAAUUGAACCCCAGGCUAUGUAUGUAGAUGCUUAAAUGGAGUAUCUUCGGACGCGGGUUCGACUCCCGCCGCCUCCACCA
rnacentral:tmRNA from 2 species